rnacentral:tRNA from 1 species
GCCGGUGUAGCUCAGCUGGUAGAGCAGCUCAUUCGUAAUGAGAAGGUCGGGAGUUCGAUUCUCUCCUCCGGCACCA